rnacentral:rRNA from 1 species
UGCCAGCAGCCGCGGUAAUACGUAGGGUGCGAGCGUUAAUCGGAAUUACUGGGCGUAAAGCGUGCGCAGGCGGUUGUGUAAGACAGGUGUGAAAUCCCCGGGCUUAACCUGGGAACUGCGCUUGUGACUGCACGGCUAGAGUAUGGCAGAGGGGGGUGGAAUUCCACGUGUAGCAGUGAAAUGCGUAGAGAUGUGGAGGAACACCGAUGGCGAAGGCAGCCCCCUGGGCCAAUACUGACGCUCAUGCACGAAAGCGUGGGGAGCAAACAGGAUUAGAUACCCUGGUAGUCCACGCCCUAAACGAUGUCGACUAGGUGUUCGGUGAGGAGACUCAUUGAGUACCGCAGCUAACGCGUGAAGUCGACCGCCUGGGGAGUACGGUCGCAAGAUUAAAACUUAAAGGAAUUGGCGGGGG